AAGACCGUGUCUUUACCACCGCCGUCAUAUCGAUUUUGGUUUUAUGUCGUUUUUCUGUUUGAUAAACAUCCACGGAGACAAUUGUAUGGUUUAAAAUAUGUAAAGGAGUCUAAAAAUUCGAAGUGUAUUCGUAUCUAUUUUAAUAUUUCCGAAAUUGUACUCGAAAUAUUGUAUAACAACUCUCAAAACGAGUUUGGAAAACGAACCCUACGAGAGUGCUAAAUGUCCACCAUCUAGUCUCUAAAGGGAUUUUAAACAACAAACCAU